rnacentral:rRNA from 1 species
AUGAACGCUGGCGGCGUGCCUAAUACAUGCAAGUCGAGCGAACGGACGAGAAGCUUGCUUUUCUGAUGUUAGCGGCGGACGGGUGAGUAACACGUGGAUAACCUACCUAUAAGACUGGGAUAACUUCGGGAAACCGGAGCUAAUACCGGAUAAUAUUUUGAACCGCCUGGUUCAAAAGUGAAAGACGGUCUUGCUGUCACUUAUAGAUGGAUCCGCGCUGCAUUAGCUAGUUGGUAAGGUAACGGCUUACCAAGGCAACGAUGCAUAGCCGACCUGAGAGGGUGAUCGGCCACACUGGAACUGAGACACGGUCCAGACUCCUACGGGAGGCAGCAGUAGGGAAUCUUCCGCAAUGGGCGAAAGCCUGACGGAGCAACGCCGCGUGAGUGAUGAAGGUCUUCGGAUCGUAAAACUCUGUUAUUAGGGAAGAACAUAUGUGUAAGUAACUGUGCACAUCUUGACGGUACCUAAUCAGAAAGCCACGGCUAACUACGUG